rnacentral:rRNA from 1 species
AUUGAACGCUGGCGGCAGGCUUAACACAUGCAAGUCGAGCGGGGUGAUGGUGCUUGCACUAUCACUUAGCGGCGGACGGGUGAGUAAUGCUUAGGAAUCUGCCUAUUAGUGGGGGACAACAUCUCGAAAGGGAUGCUAAUACCGCAUGCGUCCUACGGGAGAAAGCAGGGGAUCACUUGUGACCUUGCGCUAAUAGAUGAGCCUAAGUCGGAUUAGCUAGUUGGUGGGGUAAAGGCCUACCAAGGCGACGAUCUGGAGCGGGUCUGAGAGGAUGAGCCGCCACAGUGGGACUGAGACACGGCCCAGGCUCCUACGGGAGGUAGCAGUGGGGAAUAUUGGACAGUGGGGGGAACCCUGAUCCAGCCAUGCCGCGUGUGUGAAGAAGGCCUUAUGGUUGUAAAGCACUUUAAGCGAGGAGGAGGCUCUUUUGGUUAAUACCCAAGAUGAGUGGACGUUACUCGCAGAAUAAGCACCGGCUAACUCUGUGACAGCCGCCGCCGUAA